CCCUUAGAUGCUCUGGGCCGCACGCGCGCUACACUGGUCGAUGCAACGAGUUUCUUUCCUUGGCCGACAGGCCUGGGCAAUCUUUGAACAUCGAUCGUGAUCGGGAUAGAUUCUUGUAAUUUUUGAUCUUAAACGAGGAAUUCCUAGUAAACGCAAGUCAUCAGCUUGCAUUGAUUACGUCCCUGCCCUUUGUACACACCGCCCGUCGCACCUACCGAUUGAAUGGUCCGGUGAAAUCUCCGGACUGGCGUGAGUCGGAGCAAUCUGACAAACGCCGGAAAGUUGGUUAAACCUUACCAUUUAGAGGAAGGUGAAGUCGUAACA
rnacentral:rRNA from 1 species